UUUUUUUUUAUGUCUAUUCUAAACCUGUAAGUUUUUUAUUUGUUUUCACAUGAAUGUACCUGGUUAUCAAUUUGUUUGUUUUUUCCCUCAUCCUAUUGUACAAAUAUGUAUUGCACUUAGCUAUUUUUUAAAUUUUUUUAAUUAUUAUUAUUUUAUUUUUAUUUUUUUGUGCUUGGAGGGGAACACAUUUUUAAUUAAAAUAAGAAAAAAGUAUUAAAAAAAUCCUGAAAUUCCCAGUGAAUUUAAACACAGGCAAAAGAGCCCUGUCCAUUAUUUUUUAUGUUUCAGCAGUAGCAUUUUUACUUCUCAUGAUGCAGUUUUCCCUCUUAAUGCAUACAAUAAAAACUGCUUUACCCAAAGUGUCUGUUUCUUUACUGAGAUGUUACUAAACAAGAUGCUUGUUUUAAAAUGAGCGUAAAUGUCAAUUAAAGGUUUUUCUAUUUGGCAACUAGAAAAAUGCAUUUAAAAUGUGUUUACUGCUGAAAAAAAUGUUGUG